UACGAGAGGCCCAAACGUUAUUCGGAAUUACUGGGCUUAAAGAGUUCGUAGGCGGCAUGAAAAGUAGGGUGUGAAAGCCCUCGGCUCAACCGAGGAAUUGCGCUCUAAACUGUCGUGCUCGAGGAAUCUAGAGGUGAGCGGAACUGAUGGUGGAGUGGUGAAAUGCGUUGAUAUCAUCAGGAACACCGGUGGCGAAGGCGGGUCUCUGGGCCGAUACUGACGCUGAGGAGCGAAAGCGUGGGGAGCGAACAGG
rnacentral:rRNA from 1 species